rnacentral:rRNA from 1 species
GAUGAACGCUGGCGGCGUGCCUAAUACAUGCAAGUCGAGCGAACGGACGAGAAGCUUGCUUCUCUGAUGUUAGCGGCGGACGGGUGAGUAACACGUGGAUAACCUACCUAUAAGACUGGGAUAACUUCGGGAAACCGGAGCUAAUACCGGAUAAUAUUUUGAACCGCAUGGUUCAAAAGUGAAAGACGGUCUUGCUGUCACUUAUAGAUGGAUCCGCGCUGCAUUAGCUAGUUGGUAAGGUAACGGCUUACCAAGGCAACGAUGCAUAGCCGACCUGAGAGGGUGAUCGGCCACACUGGAACUGAGACACGGUCCAGACUCCUACGGGAGGCAGCAGUAGGGAAUCUUCCGCAAUGGGCGAAAGCCUGACGGAGCAACGCCGCGUGAGUGAUGAAGGUCUUCGGAUCGUAAAACUCUGUUAUUAGGGAAGAACAUAUGUGUAAGUAACUGUGCACAUCUUGACGGUACCUAAUCAGAAAGCCACGGCUAACUACGUGCCAGCAGCCGCGGUAAUACGUAGGUGGCAAGCGUUAUCCGGAAUUAUUGGGCGUAAAGCGCGCGUAGGCGGUUUUUUAAGUCUGAUGUGAAAGCCCACGGCUCAACCGUGGAGGGUCAUUGGAAACUGGAAAACUUGAGUGCAGAAGAGGAAAGUGGAAUUCCAUGUGUAGCGGUGAAAUGCGCAGAGACAUGGAGGAACACCAGUGGCGAAGGCGACUUUCUGGUCUGUAACUGACGCUGAUGUGCGAAAGCGUGGGGAUCAAACAGGAUUAGAUACCCUGGUAGUCCACGCCGUAAACGAUGAGUGCUAAGUGUUAGGGGGUUUCCGCCCCUUAGUGCUGCAGCUAACGCAUUAAGCACUCCGCCUGGGGAGUACGACCGCAAGGUUGAAACUCAAAGGAAUUGACGGGGACCCGCACAAGCGGUGGAGCAUAUGGUUUAAUUCGAAGCAACGCGAAGAACCUUACCAAAUCUUGACAUCCUUUGACAACUCUAGAGAUAGAGCCUUCCCCUUCGGGGGACAAAGUGACAGGUGGUGCAUGGUUGUCGUCAGCUCGUGUCGUGAGAUGUUGGGUUAAGUCCCGCAACGAGCGCAACCCUUAAGCUUAGUUGCCAUCAUUAAGUUGGGCACUCUAAGUUGACUGCCGGUGACAAACCGGAGGAAGGUGGGGAUGACGUCAAAUCAUCAUGCCCCUUAUGAUUUGGGCUACACACGUGCUACAAUGGACAAUACAAAGGGCAGCGAAACCGCGAGGUCAAGCAAAUCCCAUAAAGUUGUUCUCAGUUCGGAUCGUAGUCUGCAACUCGACUACAUGAAGCUGGAAUCGCUAGUAAUCGUAGAUCAGCAUGCUACGGUGAAUACGUUCCCGGGUCU